AGGACACUAGGGGAGUAAUGAGUAGGUGACUGUCAGUUACAUCGGAGUUCCGUGUGAUCUACGAACGCUACAACGUACAAUUAUCAUGUCACGCUCCAUGCUGUUGCUAAUCUUGUUGGGUAUAUUAUUGCUCAAUUGUCAAGAGACACUUGGUAGAAGAGGACGAGGAAGGAGCAGGAGCAAGUCCCGUGUGCAAAUCGGAUUGCCCAUUACCGGAAAGUACCGCGAUCCGGAGAGCGAUCAGUAUUACAACAAUAAUAACGGAGCCAAAAUACUUUUAGCGUCGCACUUCGAUCUAGAGUACGUCCUGGGACACAAAAUAGCUUUCCUCUGCGUCGCUCGUGGCAAUCCACGCCCGCAUGUUACGUGGUUCAAGGAUGGCGCCGAGAUUUAUACGCAUCACUAUCUACAUAUACAUGAGUGGCAAGUCGGUCCUGACAAAGUGAAAUCGAAACUCGAAAUCGAUCCCGCUACUCAAAUGGACGCGGGAGUCUACGAAUGCACAGCGGAUAAUAUGUACAGCAUCGAUCGAAGGUCUUUCAAGACUGACUUCUCCAUCGCUUUCGAUUAGUGCGAGCGUACGGGAGACCGCAAACAAACACGUACAAUUAGAUAAGAAAACAUAUAAAGCCCAGAACGACUCGCAGGAGACUAAAAUUGUCCUAAUCCGGAAUGCGAGAAAUUGUUCUCAAUCUUAUCGAAGCGCAGCGUUGCAAUCGGCGUCUAUCUAGAAUAAUAAUAAUCGACGCUUCUUCAGGCGUACAUAUUGUAGUUCAAGCGAAAAAUAUAGAAGAUUGA